rnacentral:rRNA from 1 species
GUAGGGAGCAAGCGUUAUCCGGAUUUAUUGGGUGUAAAGGGUGCGUAGGCGGUUUAUUAGGUCUAUGGUUUAAUUCCGAAGCUUAACUUCGGUUCGCCAUAGAAACCGAUUUACUUGAGUAUGGUAGAGGCAAGUGGAAUUUCUAGUGUAGCGGUAAAAUGCGUAGAUAUUAGAAGGAACACCAGUGGCGAAGGCGACUUGCUGGGCCAUCACUGACGCUGAGGCACGAAAGCGUGGGGAGCAAAUAGGAUUAGAUACCCUAGUAGUCCACGCCGUAAACGUUGAAUACUAAGUGUCGGAAUUUCCGGUGCUGAAGUUAACACAUUAAGUAUUCCACCUGAGUAGU